rnacentral:rRNA from 1 species
UACGUAGGUGGCAAGCGUUGUCCGGAUUUAUUGGGCGUAAAGAGCGUGUAGGCGGCCAUGCAGGUCCGUUGUGAAAACUGGAGGCUUAACCUCCAGACGUCGAUGGAAACCGUAUGGCUAGAGUCCGGAAGAGGAGAGUGGAAUUCCUGGUGUAGCGGUGAAAUGCGCAGAUAUCAGGAGGAACACCGGUGGCGAAGGCGGGUCUCUGGGCCGUAACUGACGCUGAGGAGCGAAAGCAUGGGGAGCGAACAGG